GAUGAACGCUGGCGGCAUGCCUAAUACAUGCAAGUCGAGCGAACAGACGAGGAGCUUGCUCCUCUGACGUUAGCGGCGGACGGGUGAGUAACACGUGGAUAACCUACCUAUAAGACUGGGAUAACUUCGGGAAACCGGAGCUAAUACCGGAUAAUAUAUUGAACCGCAUGGUUCAAUAGUGAAAGACGGUUUUGCUGUCACUUAUAGAUGGAUCCGCGCCGCAUUAGCUAGUUGGUAAGGUAACAGCUUACCAAGGCAACGAUGCGUAGCCGACCUGAGAGGGUGAUCGGCCACACUGGAACUGAGACACGGUCCAGACUCCUACGGGAGGCAGCAGUAGGGAAUCUUCCGCAAUGGGCGAAAGCCUGACGGAGCAACGCCGCGUGAGUGAUGAAGGUCUUCGGAUCGUAAAACUCUGUUAUUAGGGAAGAACAAAUGUGUAAGUAACUAUGCACGUCUUGACGGUACCUAAUCAGAAAGCCACGGCUAACUACGUG
rnacentral:rRNA from 1 species